CUGCGGAAUUCCCCAGGAGGAGUGGCAGCAGGUGGAGUCUGCACAGAGGACCCUGUACAGAGACGUGGUGAUGCUGGAGAACUACAGUUGCCUUGUCUGAUCCUAUCACCAGGAGUUUUCCCUGCUGCUGUCUGCCUUAGCAAAUCCUGUCUCACCGGAACCCACAAGAAGUCCUCCUCUUCAUGGAAACUGAUGAUCCUUCCUCUUGCCCAUGAACCCACCUGGAGGAGUCAAGCCCAGCAUGGAUGCCAGAGUGCCAAAGGUGAAAAGCAGGAAAGCCAAAAUACUCAUCAAGACCAAAGGGGGAGCACAGAGCCAGAAGCUGGGAGGAGAAAGGGAGUCAAGAAAGUCAAUGCCAGAUUGGGGCACAGUUCGCAGUGUUAAUCCCCACGAAGGCUGACUCAAGGAAGCUGAUUCCCUUAGGCGGCACCUGGCACAGGAGAAAUUCACGAUGCCUGAACCUGGGAUCUGGGGUUCCCUGCCCAAGCCAUGUUAAGGUACCAGUCAAUUCAUGCAUUUUGUUUGUCCUGACGUGAGAUUUGGAGUGUGGGCUUGAGGCUGUAAAAAUUCAGGUAGCCCAUUCCCAUUGCAUUCUAUGUCAGUGAUAAUUCUUCAGGCAC
rnacentral:lncRNA from 1 species